UAAGACUCCAUCAGAUAUUCUCUUAUAGAUCAAUUCAGUGAACUCAUUCUCUAAUAAGCACCCACAUCCUUAUAUUAGUAUCAUCACACAAGUGAUUGUGACAUCAACCAUCCUCAUCACUGAGCAUACAUAGGAUGUGCCAGUCUUUUCGAUAUCAUUGAUUCUCAACUCAAUGAAUCAAUGAUUAAAAAUAAUUUAGAUGAGGACUAUCAAAGAUUUAGAUCUCACUGGUAUGAUCUCAUUACGGC
rnacentral:lncRNA from 1 species